UCUCAUUCUCUCAUAUGGCACACAUAUUCCCUAUAUAAAUCACCCCUGCAUAUUCAUUUUGGACAUUCACUCUCUCCAAAAAUUUCAGACUCUUUUUCUUUAUUUUUUACACUGAUUUCUAAAAGAUAACACUCUGAAAAUUCGAUCAAGGUUUUCACAAGCUGUUUUCUCUCUUUUGAUUUGCUAUUCAACUUCUGUUUUCUUCAAAAUUGCAUAGAGUUGUUGAAAAAAUCUGUUGUUGUCACUCUGCUGUUUAGCUAAGACUUGAGGUUGUUCUUUUGUUUCCUGCUGUUGAUCUUGUUGAAUUCAUCUCGUGUUGGUUUUCUUAGCCUUUAUUUGGAAAAGGUUCAGCUUGUUUAUGAGUUCAGGUCAAUAAUGGUGGAUCUGGCCACAAGUUGGUUUGAUUUGCCAUUUAAGGCUUGAGUGAAGUUUCAUCUCUGUCGGCUCUUUGUUGUUUGGGUUUGUUAUUCAUUAAGCAUGAGUUAGAGUUGUGAUCAUAGUGAAGGUUAACCAAACCUGUAUUCUUUAAUGGAGGAUGGAUGUUGUAAUUUUAAGCAUAAGAUGAUGUAUUCCAUAAUUGACAGUGUAUUUGCUUAGGUGACUGUUCAUGUAAAUUACAAAUGUUUAAAUUGAUAGAAGUUCAUUUGUUCAAACCAUUUAUUUA